UGGUUCUGGCAUCGAUGAAGAACGCAGCGAAAUGCGAUAAGUAAUGUGAAUUGCAGAAUUCAGUGAAUCAUCGAAUCUUUGAACGCACAUUGCGCCCCCUGGCAUUCCGGGGGGCAUGCCUGUUCGAGCGUCAUUACACCGUUCAAGCCUAGCUUGGUAUUGGGGGCCGCGGGAGACCGCGCCCCUUAAAGUCACCGGCUGGACCGCCCGUCUCCACGCGUUGUGGCAACUAUCCGCGAGCGAGACCCGGGCGACCCGGCCGUUAAACCCCCCAUCUCAAAGGUUGACCUCGGAUCAGGUAGGGAUACCCGCUGA
rnacentral:misc_RNA from 1 species